GGGAUCUACAACACUGCGUGAAAUUCAGGAUGAGCAGCGCAAAACCAUAGGGAAGCAGAUGAAUGAGAGCAAAGAUCAGGCUGAUCUCUUGGAUUGUAAAAGCGAAGGAAAAAUCCGGUUAGCUUCAUUUUUGUCUUCCAAGCCAAUACCUGUAGUCCCGACUCAAGCCUUCCAAGUUACCGAUGGAGAAAGAAACACUCCUCCCUGGUCUGCAUCUGGCACUCCUCCCCCAUCUCGGCCAUCUCUCAGGGACAUUCAGAUGCAGCAGAAAGGAAAACAACAACAGGUACUAUCGAAUAGUCCAAAGGUGAGAACAGCUGGCUUUUC
rnacentral:misc_RNA from 1 species